rnacentral:rRNA from 1 species
GGGUGCGAUCAUACCAGCGUUAAUGCACCGGAUCCCAUCAGAACUACGCAGUUAAGCGCGCUUGGGCCAGAGUAGUACUGGGAUGGGUGACCUCUCGGGAAGUCCUAGUGUUGCACCCU